AAGGGAAAGAAAAAGAGAAAAGAAUGAGUAUGUAGAAAAAUGAACCUUCAGAGCAAUAACAAACAUCACAAGGUCCGGGGAGGAGGCACUGAGGGAAGGCGGAACUGAUGUAGGAAAAGCCAAGAAUAAUAAGAAGAAGAGAAACACGAGCAGCCAUGGAAAUUCAGA